rnacentral:rRNA from 1 species
GAUGAACGCUAGCGGCAGGCUUAAUACAUGCAAGUCGAGGGGCAGCAGGGGUAGCAAUACUCGCUGGCGACCGGCAAACGGGUGCGGAACACGUACGCAACCUUCCCAAAACUGGUGAAUAGCCUUCCGAAAGGGAGAUUAAUACACCGUACCAUAAUGAAGAGGCAUCUCUUUAUUAUUAUAGGCAGCAAUGUCGGUUUUGGAUGGGCGUGCGCCUGAUUAGGAGUUGGCGGGGUAACGGCCCACCAAGCCUGCGAUCAGUAACUGGUGUGAGAGCACGACCAGUCACACGGGCACUGAGACACGGGCCCGACUCCUACGGGAGGCAGCAGUAAGGAAUAUUGGUCAAUGGACGAAAGUCUGAACCAGCCAUGCCGCGUGAAGGAUGAAGGCCCUCUGGGUUGUAAACUUCUUUUGGUACGGGGACAAAAUGCCGAUGCGUCGGAGAUUGGGUGUACCGU